UACAGAGGUCUCAAGCGUUGUUCGGAUUCAUUGGGCGUAAAGGGUGUGUAGGUGGCGCUGUAAGUCGGGUGUGAAAUUUCGGAGCUUAACUCCGAAACUGCAUUCGAUACUGCGGUGCUUGAGGACUGGAGAGGAGACUGGAAUUCAUGGUGUAGCAGUGAAAUGCGUAGAGAUCAUGAGGAAGACCAGUGGCGAAGGCGGGUCUCUGGACAGUUCCUGACACUGAGACACGAAGGCCAGGGGAGCAAAACGGG
rnacentral:rRNA from 1 species